GGCCUGGUUGCUAAGUGGUAAAGCAAGGGUCUGCAAAACCCUUAUACGGCGGUUCGAUUCCGCCCCAGGCCU
rnacentral:tRNA from 1 species